CCAGCUUUUCUUUAUCUUU
rnacentral:sRNA from 1 species